rnacentral:rRNA from 1 species
UACGAAGGGGGCUAGCGUUGCUCGGAAUUACUGGGCGUAAAGGGCGCGUAGGCGGCACUGUUAGUCAGGCGUGAAAUUCCUGGGCUCAACCUGGGGACUGCGCUUGAUACGGCAGAGCUUGAGGAUGGAAGAGGGUCGCGGAAUUCCCAGUGUAGAGGUGAAAUUCGUAGAUAUUGGGAAGAACACCGGUGGCGAAGGCGGCGACCUGGUCCAUUACUGACGCUGAGGCGCGACAGCGGUGGGGAGCAAACAGG